rnacentral:rRNA from 1 species
CAAUUGGCGGCCAGCUACACAUGCAGUCGAGCGGAACGAGUUAUCUGAACCUUCGGGGAACGAUAACGGCGUCGAGCGGCGGACGGGUGAGUAAUGCCUAGGAAAUUGCCCUGAUGUGGGGGAUAACCAUUGGAAACGAUGGCUAAUACCGCAUGAUGCCUACGGGCCAAAGAGGGGGACCUUCGGGCCUCUCGCGUCAGGAUAUGCCUAGGUGGGAUUAGCUAGUUGGUGAGGUAAGGGCUCACCAAGGCGACGAUCCCUAGCUGGUCUGAGAGGAUGAUCAGCCACACUGGAACUGAGACACGGUCCAGACUCCUACGGGAGGCAGCAGUGGGGAAUAUUGCACAAUGGGCGCAAGCCUGAUGCAGCCAUGCCGCGUGUGUGAAGAAGGCCUUCGGGUUGUAAAGCACUUUCAGUCGUGAGGAAGGUAGUGUAGUUAAUAGCUGCAUUAUUUGACGUUAGCGACAGAAGAAGCACCGGCUAACUCCGUGCCAGCAGCCGCGGUAAUACGGAGGGUGCGAGCGUUAAUCGGAAUUACUGGGCGUAAAGCGCAUGCAGGUGGUUUGUUAAGUCAGAUGUGAAAGCCCGGGGCUCAACCUCGGAAUAGCAUUUGAAACUGGCAGACUAGAGUACUGUAGAGGGGGGUAGAAUUUCAGGUGUAGCGGUGAAAUGCGUAGAGAUCUGAAGGAAUACCGGUGGCGAAGGCGGCCCCCUGGACAGAUACUGACACUCAGAUGCGAAAGCGUGGGGGAGCAAACAGGAUUAGAUACCCUGGUAGUCCACGCCGUAAACGAUGUC